rnacentral:rRNA from 1 species
CUUGCUUCUCUUGAGAGCGGCGGACGGGUGAGUAAUGCCUAGGAAUCUGCCUGGUAGUGGGGGAUAACGUUCGGAAACGGACGCUAAUACCGCAUACGUCCUACGGGAGAAAGCAGGGGACCUUCGGGCCUUGCGCUAUCAGAUGAGCCUAGGUCGGAUUAGCUAGUUGGUGGGGUAAUGGCUCACCAAGGCGACGAUCCGUAACUGGUCUGAGAGGAUGAUCAGUCACACUGGAACUGAGACACGGUCCAGACUCCUACGGGAGGCAGCAGUGGGGAAUAUUGGACAAUGGGCGAAAGCCUGAUCCAGCCAUGCCGCGUGUGUGAAGAAGGUCUUCGGAUUGUAAAGCACUUUAAGUUGGGAGGAAGGGCAGUAAAUUAAUACUUUGCUGUUUUGACGUUACCGACAGAAUAAGCACCGGCUAACUCUGUGCCAGCAGCCGCGGUAAUACAGAGGGUGCAAGCGUUAAUCGGAAUUACUGGGCGUAAAGCGCGCGUAGGUGGUUCGUUAAGUUGGAUGUGAAAUCCCCGGGCUCAACCUGGGAACUGCAUUCAAAACUGACGAGCUAGAGUAUGGUAGAGGGUGGUGGAAUUUCCUGUGUAGCGGUGAAAUGCGUAGAUAUAGGAAGGAACACCAGUGGCGAAGGCGACCACCUGGACUGAUACUGACACUGAGGUGCGAAAGCGUGGGGAGCAAAC